GCGGAAAGCUCAUUAUAACAGCUAUAAUCUACACGGCAAUUAUUCUUAAUUGGAUAACUGAGGUAAUUCUUGAGCUAAUACACGCUUUAAUGCCACAUUCGUGGUGCGUUUAUUUGACUAGACAUCAUAUUGGUUGACUCAAAAUAUCCUUGCUAAUUUUUUUUUUAAAAAUAUGCCGUAUGAGUAUCUGCUUUAUCAACUUUCGAUGGUAGGGUAUUGGCCUACCAUGGUGUUGACGGAUAACGGAGAAUUAGGGUUCGACUCCGGAGAGGGAGCCUGAGAAACGGCUACCACAUCCAAGGAAGGCAGCAGGCGCGAAAAUUACCCAAUCUUAGUUAAAGGAGGUAGUGACGAAAAAUGACAAAGCAACACUUUUUAAGUGUUGUUAUUGGAAAUCUUGCAACCUAAAUAGUUGCUUGGUAAAGGAGAGGGCCAGUCUGGUGCCAGCAGCCGCGGUAAUACCAGCUCUCCAAGUGCAUAAAAUGAUUGUUGUGGUUAAAAAGCUCGUAGUUGGAUUUAUUGAAUAAGUUCAGAGUCAUGUAUAUGGCUUCUGAAAUGUUCAUACUUUUGCAAUUAGCAAUAAUUGCCUGUUACUUUGAAUAAAUCAGAGUGUUCAAAACAGUCAUAUGACUGAAUAUCCUAGCAUGGAAUAACACUAUAGAAGUAUAUGUAGUGCGGUGUUUCACACAUUACUUCAUGGUUAAUAGAAACAAACGGGGGCAUUCGUAUCGAUACG
rnacentral:rRNA from 1 species